GAUAUCGGAAGAGUUUUCCUUUUCUGUUUUAUAGUCGUACUACCAUGGAAGUCUUUCGAAGAGAGAUAUGGUAGAUGGACUAGAAGAGCAUGACAUUUACUGUUGUGUCGAUAUUUUCUCCUCGGACCUUGAAAAUUUAUGGUGGGGUUACGCAAACUUCUCAACAGGCCGUACCAAUAUCCGCAGCUGGUCUCCAAGGUGAAGAGUCUCUAGUCGAUAGAAUAAUGUAGGUAAGGGAAGUCGGCAAAUUAGAUCCGUAACUUCGGGAUAAGGAUUGGCUCUGA
rnacentral:rRNA from 1 species